rnacentral:rRNA from 1 species
AGUGAACGCUGACGGUAGGCCUAACACAUGCAAGUCGAACGGCAGCACACUAAUAGCUUGCUCUUACGGGUGGCGAGUGGCGUACGGGUGAGGUAUACAUCCGAAUCUACUUUUUCGUGUUGGAUAACGUAGGGCAACUUACGCUAAUACCUCAUACCACCUACGGGUGAAAGCAGGGGAUCUUCGGACCUUGCGCGAUUGAAUGAGCCGAUGUCGGAUUAGCUAGUUGGCGGGGUAAAGGCCCACCAAGGCGACGGUCCGUAGCUGGUCUGAGAGGAGGAUCAGCGACACUGGAAGUGAGACACGGUACAGACUCCGACGGGAGGCAGAAGUGGGGAAGAGUGGAAAAUGGGCGCAAGCCUGAACCAGGCGUAGCGCGUGGGUGAAGAAGGCCUUCGGGUUGUAAAGCCGUUUUGUUGGGAAAGAAAAGCAGCAGGUUAAGACCCCGCUGUUCUGACGGUACCCAAAGAAGAAGCACCGGCUAACUUCGUG